UGUUCGCCAUUUAAAGUGGUACGUGAGCUGGGUUCAGAACGUCGCGAGACAGUUCGGUCCCUAUCUCGUGUGGGCGUAGGAUACUUGAAGGGAUCUGUCCUUAGUACGAGAGGACCGGGACGGACGAACCUCUGGUGUACCAGUUGUCGCGCCAGCGGCAUCGCUGGGUAGCUACGUUCGGAAAGGAUAACCGCUGAAAGCAUCUAAGCGGGAAGCCCCCCCUGAGAUGAGGUAUCCCUGAAGACCCCUGGUAGAUGACCAGGUUGAUAGGCAGGAAGUGUAAGCGCUGUGAGGCGUUCAGCUGACCUGUACUAAUAGGUCGUUUGGCUUGACCAUU
rnacentral:rRNA from 1 species